rnacentral:rRNA from 1 species
AGAGUUUGAUCAUGGCUCAGGAUGAACGCCGGCGGUGUGCCUAAUACAUGCAAGUCGGGCGCAUUGGCCCAACUGAUAUGACGUGCUUGCACUGAAUUGAUGUUGGAUUACCAGUGAGCGGCGGACGGGUGAGUAACACGUGGGCAACCUGCCCUGAAGCGGGGGAUAACAUCUGGAAACAGGUGCUAAUACCGCAUAACAACGAAAACCACAUGGUUUUCGUUUCAAAGAUGGUUUCGGCUAUCACUUCAGGAUGGACCCGCGUCGCAUUAGCUAGUUGGUGAGGUAAAGGCUCACCAAAGCAACGAUGCGUAGCCGACCUGAGAGGGUGAUCGGCCACACUGGGACUGAGACACGGCCCAGACUCCUACGGGAGGCAGCAGUAGGGAAUCUUCCGCAAUGGACGAAAGUCUGACGGAGCAACGCCGCGUGAGUGAUGAAGGUCUUCGGAUCGUAAAACUCUGUUGUCAGGGAAGAACAAGUGACGUUCGAAUAGGGCGUGACCUCGACGGUACCUGACCAGAAAGCCCCGGCUAACUACGUGCCAGCAGCCGCGGUAAUACGUAGGGGGCAAGCGUUGUCCGGAUUUAUUGGGCGUAAAGGGAACGCAGGCGGUUUUUUAAGUCUGAUGUGAAAGCCUUCGGCUUAACCGGAGAUGUGCAUUGGAAACUGGAAGACUUGAGUGCAGAAGAGGAGAGUGGAACUCCAUGUGUAGCGGUGAAAUGCGUAGAUAUAUGGAAGAACACCAGUGGCGAAAGCGGCUCUCUGGUCUGUAACUGACGCUGAGGUUCGAAAGCAUGGGUAGCGAACAG